GUAGCGGCGAGCGAAACGGGAAAAGCCCAAACCAACAAGCUUGCUUGUUGGGGUUGUAGGACUCCAAUAUGGUCGUUCUUUCAGAUAGUCGAAUGACUUGGAAAAGUCAGUCAAAGAGGGUAAAAACCCCGUAGACGAAAUGUGGAAGACACCUAGGAGGAUCCUGAGUACGGCGGAACACGAGAAAUUCCGUCGGAAUCCGGGAGGACCAUCUCCCAAGGCUAAAUACUCCCUAGUGACCGAUAGUGAACCAGUACCGUGAGGGAAAGGUGAAAAGCACCCCGGAAGGGGAGUGAAAUAGAACCUGAAACCGUGUGCCUACAACAAGUCAAAGCCCGUUAAUGGGUGAUGGCGUGCCUUUUGUAGAAUGAACCGGCGAGUUACGAUUGCAUGCGAGGUUAAGUUGAAGAGACGGAGCCGCAGCGAAAGCGAGUCUGAAUAGGGCGUUUGAGUAUGUAGUCGUAGACCCGAAACCAUGUGAUCUACCCAUGUCCAGGUUGAAGGUGCGGUAAAACGCACUGGAGGACCGAACCCACGUACGUUGAAAAGUGCGGGGAUGAGGUGUGGGUAGCGGAGAAAUUCCAAACGAACUUGGAGAUAGC
rnacentral:rRNA from 2 species